GAUCGGGCGUUUCCCCUCGUGGUGUUGCACUUGCAGUGUGGUGAGUGAGAUUUUACACAUUAUAAGCUUUUUCACGAUAGAGUGGUGCUGUGUAUUUGCCGUGGGUUGCCGUGUGUCUUGUCAGAGGAACCCCGCACCAUCCAUUCUCUCCCUUGGAAGGAGGACGCCGGGGCCAACGACCGUAGACCUUAUUGCCAUCAUACGCGGUGUGCUGUUCAAGAGAGUGAAGAGACGCAGGCCAAGUACUGUGGAGGACUGUGAGUAUUAUAGUGAAAGCAAUUGUGGUGUAAACUUACCUGUGUGUGUGUCAUCGCAGAGUCGGAGGCGAACGGGUCCGCUGCCCCCGGGUCCCUACGAAAGGGCGCCCUUAUCUGGGAUUUGAUCAGCCUACGGACAGUGGCGAUAAGGCAGCGCUCGACCCGGCGAGGUGGUGUGUGACCUUCGCCCCCCUGCUGACCUACAGAAGGAACGACCGUGAGUAACAUAGUAAAAGCAAUUGUGGCAUAAGCUUACCUGUGUUUGUAUCAUCGCAGAGUCGGAGGCGAACGGGUCCGCUACCCCCGUGGUCUCUACGAAAGGGCGCCCCUAUCCGGAAUUCGAUCGGCCCACGGACCGUGGGGAUAGGGCGGCGCUCGACCCGGCGAGGUGGUGUGUGGCCUUCGCCCCCCUGCUGACCAACAGUAAAGAGCCGACUGUGAACGUGAUACUUACCCCGAGAGCUGUAAGCAGCGGAGCUGGUGAGAACCAUUCAAAGACCAAUAACAGUGUUUCUGUGUCCUAGCGAUCACCUGUGGAGAGAGAGAAGAAGACAAGAUGGCCGCCUGUGGAAAGAGAAGAAGGCGAGAGUAAGCCAUUGGGCACGGACAGUGGAGAAACCCCUAACAGCCACACCAGAAGUUGUCUGCCUCCAGGAAGAGAAGAAGGAGGGCGCCACGGCCAGCAGGGUCCAGGCGGGAGCCUGACGUUUCCUUUCCCCUGUUGAUGGUGGUUGGCACCCCCGUUUUCCCAUCCCUGUCACCCGUGGCUGUAGUCUCCCUGGAGGGAGUAGAAGAAGCCAUUAGUUUUAAAAUUCCCCUUUCCCCGAAAUUUCCCCCCCAUCCUUUUAAGUAUUUAAGAUUUCAAUAAAGCUUGUUUUAAAUUUUA